rnacentral:tRNA from 1 species
GCCGAGGUAGCUCAGUCGGUAGAGCAGAAACAAAAAA